AUGAGCAUGUACGGGAGGGACCCGUGGGGCGGCCCGCUCGAGAUAUGCCACGACUCGGCCACGGACGACGACCGGAGCCGGAACCUCGACCUCGACCGGGCGGCGCUCUCGCGGACGCUCGACGAGACGCAGCAGAGCUGGCUGCUCGCGGGGCCCGGCGACCAGGGCCGCAAGAAGAAGAGGUACGUCGACCUCGGAUGCCUCCUCGUCAGCCGCAAGCUCUUCCUCUGGACGCUCGGCCUGCUCCUCGCCGCUGCCGCGCUCGCGGGGAUCGCCGCGGGGAUUGCCAAGGCCGUCCCCAGGCACCAAGCCCCGCCCGCGCCGCUGGACCAGUUCACCCUCGCGCUGCGCAAGGCGCUCAUGUUCUUCAAUGCCCAGAAAUCCGGGAAGCUGCCGAAGCACAACAAUGUACCAUGGCGCGGCGACUCGUGCCUCAAGGACGGACGCUCGGACGCCCGGCGAGACCUCUCUGGUGGCUACUAUGACGGCGGAAGCGCUGUGAAAUUCAACUUCGCAUCUGCCUUCUCCAUGACCCUCCUCAGCUGGAGCGUCAUCGAGUACAAUGCUAAGUACGAGGCUGCUGGGGAACUUGGCCAUGUCCGUGACACUAUUAAGUGGGGGGCCGACUACCUAUUGAAGACCUUCAACUCCACGGCACAUUCCAUUGAUCGCUUGAUUGCACAGGUGGGUGGUGCUGCAAUGUCAGACGGUCCGAGUCAGCCCAAUGAUCAUUAUUGUUGGAUGAGGCCAGAGGACAUCGACUACCCACGUCCAGUCACCGAGUGCCACACUUGCCCUGAUCUUGGUGCUGAGAUGGCCGCAGCAUUGGCCGCAGCAUCCAUUGUGUUCAAGGAUAACAGGGUUUACUCCCACAAGCUGUUACACGGUGCUACCACCGUCUGGGACUUUGCAAGGAAGGGAGGUAGUCGUCAAACAUAUAGUCUACCCCGGUCAGAUGCUGCAAAGUUCUACAAUUCAACCGGUUACUGGGAUGAAUAUAUGUGGGGUGGUUCGUGGAUGUACCUCGCAACUGGCAAUUCAUCAUACCUGCAGUUCGCAACGGAUGCCAAUCUUGCAAAUCAUGCUCACGUUUUCUCUCGUCCCCCGAACUAUGGGGUGUUCAGCUGGGAUAAUAAGCUCCCUGGUGCACAGGUUCUUCUGAGCCGGUUAAGGCUCUUCUUGAGUCCUGGGUAUCCGUAUGAAGAGAUGUUAAGGACAUACCACAACCAAACCAGCACCAUCAUGUGCUCUUAUCUUCCAGAUUUUAGAUCUUUUAACAGAACAAAAGGUGGUUUGAUACAGUUGAAUCACGGGCAGCCACAACCACUCCAGUAUGUAGUCAAUGCUGCAUUCCUUGCUUCUCUGUUCAGUGACUAUCUUGAGGCUGCAGAUACCCCUGGGUGGUAUUGUGGCCCCCAUUUCUACUCCAUCGAGGUUCUUCGCAAUUUUGCAAGGACUCAGAUGGAGUAUAUCUUGGGCAAAAAUCCUUUGAAGAUGAGCUAUGUGGUCGGGCACGGAAAGCAUUACCCCAAGCGUGUUCAUCAUCGUGGUGCGUCGAUCCCGAAGAAGAAAGGUGUUCACCCUGGCUGCAAAGGGGGUUGGACAUGGAGGGACACCAAGAAGCCCAACCCUCACAUCAUUGUUGGAGCCAUGGUGGCCGGCCCUGAUCGCCAUGACGGCUUCAAAGACGUCCGGAAGAACCGCAACUACACAGAACCAACCCUAGCGGGCAACGCUGGUCUAGUCGCAGCAUUGGUAGCUUUAUCGGGUGAAGGCCAUGGAGUGGACAAGAACACCAUGUUCUCUGCUGUGCCGCCAAUGUUCCCUUCGCCCCCGCCGCCUCCAGCACCAUGGAAGCCAUAA
rnacentral:rRNA from 1 species